rnacentral:misc_RNA from 1 species
AACAGAACCCCCAAGCGUUGUCCGGAAUUAUUGGGCGUAAAGCGCGCGCAGGCGGUCUUUUAAGUCUGAUGUGAAAGCCCACGGCUCAACCGUGGAGGGUCAUUGGAAACUGGGAGACUUGAGUACAGAAGAGGAGAGUGGAAUUCCACGUGUAGCGGUGAAAUGCGUAGAUAUGUGGAGGAACACCAGUGGCGAAGGCGGCUCUCUGGUCUGUAACUGACGCUGAGGCGCGAAAGCGUGGGGAGCAAACAGG